UGAUUUUAAUUUUAUCUAUAAAAAUGGGAUCCAAUACACACUCUUGCAGGAUUUUUGAGAUAUAAGUAAAUUAAGGUAUGUGAAGCAGCCAGCACUGUGCGGGCACAUUGGAGUGGCUGAAUUAAGAGCAGCAUUCAUUAUUUCUACUGCUUACCAGAGACACCGCCAGCCACAUAAAUGGCCAUUGCAACUGCCAUUGAAAAUCCAACAUUGAUAGUGAUGACCCCUCCAAAACGUCCUCGACUGAGAAUAGCUUGGGCAACACAGCCACAUCCAAGGACCUGGAAUGAGAGGAAAACUCAACAGAUGCUGAAAUGGCUUUUCUUAGGAGGAUAAUCAAUGCUGUGUGCUGCAGGAAAUAGGAGGAGUGAUGAGCAAUGUGGGGACUUCAGUUACCCUCAUCAGAAUCGCCACUCAGAAGAUUGGAGCCCAGAUUUCCAGCAUUACAUCUUAAUUUAGAAAUGUUUUAUUGUAGCCUGAAAAGCAACGAGGAAGCCAGCUUCACCAAGCCUUCUCUUCUCUCAUCGGCACAACCCACCCAACUGCCUUUCUGCACAUAACACCACCUUCUAGUUGACUCAGCACCACCUAUUAAUGGAUGUGAAGACCAAUGGUAACUCUGAAUAUCACACAAACUUUGUAUUUCAGUUAUCCAGCACUGAAGAAUUCACCACCCCCAAACUUAGUGGCUUUAAAUGAUAGCAUUUAUUUUGAUUAUGAAUCAGCAAUUUGGGCAGGGUUUGGGGUGGCACGUCAUCCCUGCUCUACUUGGUAUCAAAUGGAGUGGCUCGAAAAGUGGAACACUG
rnacentral:lncRNA from 10 species